GCGAUAGCUCAGAGUCGGUAGAGCAUGAGACUCUUAAUCUCAGGGUCAUGAGUCCAAGCGCCACGUGGGGUG